UACGUAGGGUGCAAGCGUUGUCCGGAAUUAUUGGGCGUAAAGGGCUCGUAGGCGGUCCAUCGCGUCGGGAGUGAAAAGCUGGGGCUUAACCCCAGUCCUGCUUCCGAUACGGGUGGACUAGAGGUAGGUAGGGGAGAACGGAAUUCCUGGUGUAGCGGUGAAAUGACGCAGAUAUCAGGAGGAACACCGGUGGCGAAGGCGGUUCUCUGGGCCUUACCUGACGCUGGAGGAGCGAAAGCAUGGGGAGCAAACAGG
rnacentral:rRNA from 1 species